rnacentral:rRNA from 1 species
GGAGGGCGCGAGCGUUGUUCGGAAUUACUGGGCGUAAAGCGCGUGUAGGCGGCCAGGUAAGUCGGAUGUGAAAGCCCGGGGCCCAACCCCGGAACUGCACCCGAUACUGCCCGGCUGGAGUCCCGGAGAGGAUGGCGGAAUUUCCGGUGUAGAGGUGAAAUUCGUAGAUAUCGGAAGGAACACCAGUGGCGAAGGCGGCCAUCUGGACGGUGACUGACGCUGAGACGCGAAAGCGUGGGGAGCAAACAGGAUUAGAUACCCUGGUAGUCCACGCUGUAAACGUUGGGUGCUAGACGUCGGGGGUAUUGACCCCUCCGGUGUCGAAGCUAACGCAUUAAGCACCCCGCCUGGGGAGUACGGCCGCAAGGCUA